rnacentral:rRNA from 1 species
GCUUACGGCCAUACCAACCUGAAAACGCCGGAUCUCGUCUGAUCUCGGAAGCUAAGCAGGGUCGGGCCUGGUUAGUACUUGGAUGGGAGACCGCCUGGGAAUACCAGGUGCUGUAAGCU